AGUUUUUAAUUACUCAAUUUUUAAAAUUGUCUUGUGUCACGUUUAGCAUUAACCCGCCUUAAGUUAAGCCCAUAUUUUGAAAGGCGAAACCAGAAACUAAGGGACUCAUUUUUCUCGCACUGAACUAAGCGGAUACAGAUGUGGAGAAAAGAGUUUGCGAAGAUGAUCGCACAUCACAUCAGAUACAGCUAAUGGAAGAGCAAGGAUGACUCAACCAGAUAACAGUUGUUUGAAUGAAUUCCACCAAGGGAUGCUGUUCAGAGGCGGACCCACC